rnacentral:rRNA from 1 species
UCGAGGAUCAUUCGCAAUGGGCGAAAGCCUGACGAUGCGACGCUGCGUGGAGGAUGAAGGCCCUCGGGUCGUAAACUCCUGUCAUGGGGGGCGAGGCGGAGGCGGUCAACAGCCGCCCGAGUUGACGGUACCCCAAGAGGAAGCCACGGCUAACUCUGUGCCAGCAGCCGCGGUAAUACAGAGGUGGCGAGCGUUGUUCGGAUUUACUGGGCGUAAAGGGCGCGUAGGCGGCCGCGUGUGUGGGGUGUGAAAUCUCCGGGCUCAACCCGGAAAGUGCGCCCCAAACUGCGCGGCUCGAGUGCGGGAGGGGAGAUCGGAAUGCAGGGUGUAGCGGUGAAAUGCGUUGAUAUCCUGCAGAACACCGGUGGCGAAGGCGGAUCUCUGGAACGCAACUGACGCUGAGGCGCGAAAGCAGGGGGAGCAAACAGG